UGGUUUGGUCAACAUUCAUAGCCAGUGGGCAGAAGAUCAGGAUUCAAACCUCAAUCCUGCCAGCUCUCAAGACCAUACCUUUUCACUUCGCCACCCUGCCUCUCUACCUAAAACGCAUUGGAGCACAAUAGAACAGAUUUUUACCAGUUUUACAGCUGUUUCUAUCAGCCUCAAAACAGAUUGCUCCCAGUUGCUGAGCCUGAUGAUUGGUGCCAAUUUGUCAAAAUGCUAGUAGCGUUUUAAUGAUUUAGAAAAAAAGCACAGGCCGAUGGCUUUUUCUACACCCAGCAGAUGCCUCUGUUCCAAGAACUGUAGCAGCAUCAAAGUGAAGCGCACCCCCUGACUUGCAAUGUUUCCUGCGGAUGACAAAUCUGUGCACAUCAUCUGGGGACCAAGGGCAAGGAUGAGCUCUGUCAGGCUCAUCUGCUGGGAAAAGGGGAGAAAAAAAAACCAACCAAGGUAAAACCUCCAUGGGGCUGGGAAUCUGGCAGAGGAUCCCUGAAGAUUAGCUUUAGAUAAGUCCUGUCUUCCCCUUGGUAUUUGAAAAGCCUUGAAACUUCAGCCUUUUUUACGUUGGCUCCUCCGUUCCAAUUCUUGGCAUAAUCAUUUUGAUGAAGUGUAUCCCGAGAUGAUGGGCUCACUGAGGUCUAUUUGACAAGAACACAGAGCAGUAAAGGGGAGCAGAAAACUGUGCAGCUUGGAAGCCACAGAUAAAUGGGGCCUAUUUGCAAGCCAGUGUGAAAAACGGGAGAGUGAUGGUAGCCAUUUUGCAAGGUGCGGAACUUAUGGACUCAUACGUCUUUUAGAACUUGGCGAUUGUGCUUCAAAAUGAUGGAGAAAAAUGAGCAAGUGGCGGCACACCAAAUACAACUCACCUUUCUGAGAGCAGGAAGCAGGAGCCCAUGCUCAUGCCUCAUGUGGCAUUUCUGUGCAUGAUCCAUCAUCUGGGCUGGGGAACUCACAGCCCUUGAAAACCUCUGCAGAGCUUCAAAGGUGAUUACUUAAGAAUGGAAGUGUUGAGUCAUUUAAAACCAGUUUUGGGGUCACUUUCUUGAUUCUCCAAAGCGAAUCCUGUCUGCCUCCGCACGAAAGUGACGGAGCUUCCUGAUCUGAACUACCAAUGAAGUCAGUGGGAAAAAUGGAGCAAUGGGUGGAGGCCCAGGACUGCUGGCCCCAAACUGGAGACACUCUUCUGUUCUUUGGAGCCCCCUUGGACAAAGGUGGGCAGGAUGUCCCCCAGAUUACCAAGAUUUUGUAUCCCUCCAACCUGGCAAGAUGAGAAUCCAAACCGAUCUUCGACGGGUCCUUGCCUACAUCAUCCAGAGCGGUUCGCAAUACCAAGCAACAGUGGAAGAGGACCUAGACUCUUGGGGAGGGAAGCCAUGAGGUCUAGUUUCAUCUACAGUGGGUCCAGGAGUGCUGUGGGAGACUGGCAGACAGACCCCUGUCCACUGAUUCGCUCCCCCGCCCCAUACACAUUUCACUUCCAUCCACCACAAUUGUGGAGCCAGAAAAAUGGUGUUUGGUUUGUGGCCCCGCCAAGUAUUUCUAUUGAACCUCAGUUUCCCCAUCUAUGAAAUAAUAACCCCUCCUCUCAUGGGAUUCCUGUAGACAACAGAAGAGAUUUAGCACACCAGCACAUAAGUGCUGCAUAAAUGGUAGCUGGGAUUGGCUUCAGGUAGCCCGGAGCAAUACUAGAAUGUUCAAAGUGGAUUGUCAAAGGACAGGGUUAACGGGGGGUCUUUCAUCAGCCUUUUCUGCUGGACGAGACAGACUUAUAUUCAAAUAACUCAGAGCUGAUGAAAUGCCCAAGCUCAGAGUUGCCAUUAAGUAUAUAGACAAGCCACACAGGACUGCAGGUACCUCACUCAUGGAAGGGCUCCUGGGACUUUGGAAUCUGAGAGUGACUAGCUUGGUGUAACACCAUGACCAGGGACCGCCAGGAAAACAGGCUUUUCUGAGUGGGGCUCUUGGUUUUGAGGCCAGAUCACCAAGCCAGUGUGCACAGAGAGGGCUCACUGUCCUUCCAUAUCAAGGGUAUUGGUUAUCAGUGGUCAGUCUUCUCUCACCUACUGAGAAGAUGUUUCUGAUCUUGCAAAGGUCUGAAUACCAGAUGUUGAUCUUAAUAUUCAUGGGGAAGGAAACCCAGCUGCACAGCUCUACCUAAGUAUUAAAUAAUCUCUGGGGAGGUUGAAAAUACUAAUGAGCUGGUUAAUGUAGGUCCGUACAUAAUGAGGUCGGGGGGGAAGGUAAGAAUUCUUGCAUUGUUGUUUUCUCGUUUUCCCUCGUAGAUCUGAGAAACUGAGCUAAAAAUGUCCACAUUUACAUCCACAUGUAAUAUCCAUUCGUUGUAACACACAAAGCAUUUCAACUAAUGAGUGUCUCUUAAAAGUUGCUACUUAACUUUCAAGUAAGUAGAAAAUGAUCACUUCCAUGGUCUGGUGAUAAGAUAACUAAGUGGGGUUAGUGAUGUGUCAGAUGUGCUACCUGCCAUAGCAUGCCACCUGUUGGACCAUCUCACCAAAGCACAUGCACGCACACUGAUGCUGAACCUUCUGAGGACGGGCUUCUUUAACACGAUUUGCCAUAUAAUUUUGUUACAUAAUAUACAUAUAAUACUAAUGAAUUUAGAAAGUCACACAUGCAUAUGUACCUAUUUUAUGAAUUGCUUUGUAUAUAUAUACCUACUUCUCAUUCAAAACACUAAACUAUUGUGCUUUUCAAAAAUGUCAUUGUCAUAAAGUGCAAAGGACCCAGGAACUAUUCCUGAUUAGAGACUGUAGGCAACUCUGCAAUGUGUCUUAGAUUGGACUGGACCCUGGAGUUAGCAGCGGGAUGGACGUAGUUACUGUGAAUGUAGACUAUGUAUUAGAUGAUCAUAUUGUGGACAAUUUUUUUGAAUUUCAUCACUGCAUUGUGGUUAUACGAGAAUGUCCUUUGAAAUAAAUACAUGCUAAAGUA